rnacentral:tRNA from 1 species
GUGGUUUUAGCUUAUUUGGUAAAGCACCUAACUGUGAAUGAGGAGAACAGAGUUCGAAUCUCGGAAUCACC